rnacentral:lncRNA from 1 species
GCCUGCCCUCUCCUCUGUUAAGAUGAAGUUUGAAAUAAGGGGGAGGCACAGCUAUGAUGCUGUUAUCUCAUUAUCUCCCUUGGCAGUAGAUCCUUGGAGGAUCUACCCAGAAGGAAAACUUAGACCAGUAUCUUCAAGCUGCUUGUAGCCCUUUCUGCUGGCUACUACAAGAACUGUGAAUGUCAGAGUGGUGAUCAUGCUAAUUGUACAGGAAGAAGCUGUGACCUCCUCAUCCUCUGAAAAUGUUUCCGCUGAGGAUGUGAGAGUACACAAAUGGUGCCAAGCAACUGAAUGCAUGCAGAAGUGGUCAAAACAGCGAGUAAUAGGAAGUGUCUGCAUCUCCUUACAAGAUUUUGCUGCAAGGUCUUUCAGAUCACCAUCUAAUUCAAGUCAGUGGCAGUUGUGAACUACUUCCAUCUAAUAAAGUUUGAGAACUGAUUAAUGGUUCUAUUUCC